rnacentral:rRNA from 1 species
UACGUAGGGUGCAAGCGUUGUCCGGAAUUAUUGGGCGUAAAGAGCUCGUAGGCGGUUUGUCGCGUCUGCUGUGAAAACUCGGGGCUUAACUCCGGGCCUGCAGUGGGUACGGGCAGACUAGAGUGCGGUAGGGGAGACUGGAAUUCCUGGUGUAGCGGUGAAAUGCGCAGAUAUUAGGAGGAACACCGGUGGCGAAGGCGGGUCUCUGGGCCGUAACUGACGCUGAGGAGCGAAAGCGUGGGGAGCGAACAGG